AAGUGUGUGUGUUAAUCUGUUACGCACAAGGCUCCAACUGGCUCAACUGCUAAAUAUCAGUGGAUGCAGUUGCUACUUGCUACUGACGUGGGACCAAAUCCUACCUUCACCCUCCCCAUCCAUCCCCCAAAACCAAGUUUUUCCAGUAAAUAAUAACAAAAAAAUCCCUUAACCCUUUUCUUUUCUGGCCUUGUUUCUUUGACCGUUUCCUUGGCUACAUACUUUUGAACCAAAGAGCAGAGGCCCCUAGGAUUCUCACUUCUCCCUCCCUUCUCAUGAGGACGAAACAAGAUUUUGAAUACAUCAUUCUUUUCUUUUUUUUUUUUUUUUCCGGAUUUCACUAAGACUCCGUUUGGUUUGAGGGAAAGUAAUGGGAAAAGAGGAAUAUUCUUAAAUGAUACCUUUUUCCCAUGUUUAAUUGUUAGGAUACAGUGGUAUGGGAUGAGAAAAGAGUGAGAAGCAAGAUCAAUGGGAUCCCACCAAAAUGGUGCGAUCCCAGUGAGAAAGGAAAAUCGUGAGACGCGACUAAGAAAAGUUAUCAGGCUUUGUCAGGCCUGAACUCGAGAGUCUUCUUCCUUCAGCCAAGCAUUCCAACGGUUGUAUCUCUAGCGAUUUCUUUGGUGAUAUCAAGCAAAGGUAAGACCAGAUCUACACUCCUCUUGCUUUGGCGAGCCAUUUCCUAUAUUUUCUUGUAUAUUUUGGUGGAUAAGAAUGUUUUUACCAUAAUUGCGCCGGUCUCUGCAAUGACUGAUCCCAUUUCAUCUUCUUCACUAUUUUCGGCAAGGAGAAGCUCCAUUAUCCUUGUGUAGGCGAGAUUUAUUAGGAGAUUUGGUAGGACAGUCUAUUUUAGCGAGCAAAGGAGAAACUACAUUUCAUCUUCUUCAGGACAUGCACAAGUCCGAUCUGGAAGCUGUUUUAAUUGCAGCCUUUGAUGCUAUUUUUCCUUGAAAGAAUGCUGAAACUGGAUUGAGUUCACAACAGUACAUCAUUCAUGUAUUUCUUAAUGCUACAAAAUUUUCUUUCAGCAAUACCACCAUUCUGCAAGAGGGAGUCCACAAUGCCAAGAUUAUUUGGGGUCAGUCAGGUUAGUCAGUGUUAGUAUGGACUCAGGGGUGACGACAGAGCAGGAUGCACACGAGGCCCACUGGUCAUACCACACAGACCUAGGUCAAUUCAACAUCUCUGCUUUGUGAGUGAUGUCAAGUUACCAUCUCAACUAUCAGAUGCUUGUUGACAGUUGACAGGUUCAGAACUAGGAAUUGACCUCUCUUCUCCAAAGAGCAUCACACAAAAGACAUCUCCUCAUGUACACCACCCCAUCCCUCGUAUAUUUUCUCUAAUUUCUUUGCCACUUUCACCAAGAUGUGGAAGGUAGAGAGGAAGUAAAUGGGCAGGACAGCCAUUGUUGACUUAAUUAGUGUUAUCCUCCCUAGUCCCUCCUAACGAGAUAGGGUUCCUUUUCAACAAAGGAAAAUGCAAUUUACCAAAAUGAAGCGAGUUAUUUAACAUUACAAAAUGAAACAACAAAGACAGAAUAAGCCUGUCUAGUGGCAUAUUCUAGUGCAAGGCGGAGAUUUCAAUGUCAUAUAUUUAACAUUACAAAACCUGUUAUUUCCCAUUGAAAAGAACUUUGAGAAGACCAUGAAACAUCACAAUAAUUAUUUUAUCAAUUAUUAUACAAUGUUCAUAGAUAUUUAUCCUUUGUAUACCACAAAUAUGAAACCAAAGAUGUAAACUUAAUUACAGGCCAAACUCACCAAGUGCACUAUGCACCAUUCUUUUUUCUAAAAGGUCCAUUACCCAAUGUUGGUCAUAACUAUCUAAGGUCUUGGGAGCAUGGUUCAAAGUAUCAAUACACCUUUGUGUAUUGGUAGAGGUGUAUGGGUACUUUAAACCAUACUCCUAUUUUUUUAGUUUUAUUUUUCAAGUUUCAAUUUUAAAUAUAUUUACAUAUAUUAUUUAAAAAAUGGUUUCUUGAAAACACCUGUAAACAGGUGUAUCGGGGACCCACCGAUACGAUACAAUAUGCCCGACUUGGUGAAUUUCAUGGGCUCAACUAAACCACUUGCAUUAUCUGGGUUCAUUAGAUAUUUUCAAAUUCUAACCCGAUCAAUAAAUGGGCUGUUCAGGUUAUAUUCGUGCCAACCCGAUCAAGGUACGGUGCAGUCUAGCCAGAGUUGGGGAUCCAUUUCUUACCAACAAAACUAUGGAGAACCCAAACAGAACAAUGAAGGAAAAAAGGAACA